ACGGAGGGUGCAAGCGUUAUCCGGAUUUAUUGGGUUUAAAGGGUCCGUAGGCGGAUGAUUAAGUCAGUGGUGAAAGCCCACAGCUCAACUGUGGAACUGCCAUUGAUACUGGUUAUCUUGAGUGCGGUUGAAGUUGGCGGAAUAAGUCAUGUAGCGGUGAAAUGCUUAGAUAUGACUUAGAACCCCGAUUGCGAAGGCAGCCAACUAAGCCGUAACUGACGCUGAGGGACGAAAGCGUGGGGAGCGAACAGG
rnacentral:rRNA from 1 species